rnacentral:lncRNA from 10 species
AUUUUUAAAAACAGCUGUAAUCUGCGGUCAUUGAUGGUGGAGUAGAUUGUUUGCCAAACUAUUACCAUAACUGUCAACCGAAAUCAGAAAAAUAAUCUCAUUGUGCUGGACAGAUGCGUUUCCUGCAUUAUUGAUAUAGUCACUCUGGAGUAAUAGAGAAAUAUAAAGCAUUGUUCUAUUUACAAAAGGAGAUUGGCCAAGUCCUUGAAAGAUCCCCUGAAAUGCUGGGCACACUGACUAGCCUCUUGUAUAGAGUCUCAAGCCUGUGGCCAGAAGCAGCUGUGUGAAGUAGCCGCUGUGAUGGAUUGGGACCACAGAUACCACUUUGGAAGGAAAGGUUCCAGAAACCAAAGCUUGGGCCAUGGGUCUCUGGGAAACUGCAGCAGGAGUUUAGAGUCUAAUGGAUGGAACACAGAAGCAGGAAAAAAAUUGCUGUAGAAUAUGAUAAAGAUUAAUAGAGGAGUCUGCAAUAAAGACUGACAGAUUGGAAAGAUACUUAAAAAACAAAUCAGCAGGACUUAGCAGGUUAUUGAAUGUGGG